rnacentral:rRNA from 1 species
AUACGGAGGGUGCGAGCGUUAAUCGGAAUUACUGGGCGUAAAGCGCGCGUAGGCGGUUUGGUCAGUCGGAUGUGAAAGCCCUAGGCUCAACCUGGGAAUUGCAUUCGAUACUGCUUAACUAGAGUAUGGUAGAGGGAAGUGGAAUUUCCGGUGUAGCGGUGAAAUGCGUAGAUAUCGGAAGGAACACCAGUGGCGAAGGCGACGUCCUGGGCCAAUACUGACGCUGAGGUGCGAAAGCGUGGGGAGCAAACAGGAUUAGAAACCCCAGUAGUCC